GGCGGGGCGAGGCGUUGUUACCGGGAGACGCGCCACCUCUCCUGUCUGUUUCCCCUCCGCGAUUCACGGCGCCGCUGCCAAUUUCGAGUUCCACUUCCGGGGUCUGUGGAUAUGACGUCAUCGCGCACAGACGCAGCAAGGAACCCGGAAGUGGAGCUUCUCGCCCUGACGCUCCUGAGCUGCCGCUGCGUCAUAGGCCAAGAACAUACCUUACGAGAGAGUUGACAAGCAGACUGGGAGGCAAACAGCGGAAGCUUCUAUGAGCAGCUUCCAAUCCCAUCUGCAGAGAGAAAAGAACUCACAAGAGGCAGUAGAUAGCCAUAACUGUGAGCUACAGUGAAUCCAACCUUGUCACACACCAAAGCAUGAGAAAUUGAGUGGGACUCUAAAACAGGAGAGAAGAGGGAGUGCAAGAACUACAACUGAGUGUUCUAAUAAAAGCAUUCACCAAGAUGUUGCAGAGGAGAAUGAUGGGGUACAUUGAAGCAAUGCUUACAGAGGAACAGCCAGAUUUAGACCUGGAUGAAGUACAAUAGAUCAGCUAUUUGUGUUGUGACAGGUAUCAGAAGUAUGUAAAACACAAGUGAACCUACUUACAACAACUCUAGUCAUCAAACAGGGUUUUGAUAGUAUUUGGCAGAAAGAGUUAUGACAAGUUUUUGAGAAUGCAUGGCUUCUCUGAGAAAUUAAUCAAGCAGAUAGAAAACAUCUAUACCAAGUCAAUAAGUGGAAUGAGAGUUGUCAAGAAGCUGAUGAAAUGGUCCAGGAUGACCUAGGAGUGAGAGAACGAUGCACACUCUCACCAGAUUUGCUCAGUUUGGUACUAGAAGCAAUAGUGGCUGUAGCACUGAGAGAUGAAAUGGGAGGAGUCAUGUUAUAUGGGAAGAUAGUGAAUAACCUUAGAUUCUCAGACAAUAUUGACCUCCUAGCAUUGACCAAAGAGGAUUUACAGAGAAUAACUAAUGAGGUAAAAUGGGAAAGCAGAAAAUUCAGAAUGAAGAUCAGCACAGAGAAGACAAAAAUUAUGGCAAUUGGAGGACAAAAGGAAGAGGUAAAAAUCAGUCAGAGACAGCUAGAACAAGUGGAAAAAUUAUAUAUCUUGGAAGACUAGCAUUGAAGUAUGGGAACUGUGAAGAUGACAUGAAAAGAAGAAUCAGAUUAGUGAAUACUGUACUCAGAAUAUGCUAGAAGAUCUGGAAGGCUAAAGACAUUUAGAUAAAAACAAAAAACAGUGUGUAUGAGAAAAGCAGUAUGCUGAUAUUGCUAUAUGGAUUGGAAUAUGAGGAAAGUCAGUGAAAGAUAUUGACGGCAGAAACAAACUGUUUGAGAGACAUACUCAGAGUUUCAAGGAUGCAGGAAAAAAAGGAUAAGUAAACAGCUAUGGUAAGAAAUGAC